CUCACACGUACUCACUUUAUCAACUGGAUGGCAUGCUUCGGGUAUCCUUUUAUCAGCACUACAAAUGGCUUCAGGUUUUUCGUGUGUUGAAAUUAUAAGAACAGCGUAAUAAUUCAAUAGUUUGGAGCUUCAGAGACCACCAAGAAUUUAGUGGAAAAAAACACUGAACACAUCUAUUGUAUGCCAAUUGAGAGAUCAACCUGUCCUGUUCUA